CAGUCGCCGCGGGAAUACGUAGGUCCCGAGCGUUGUCCGGAUUUAUUGGGCGUAAAGGGAGCGCAGGCGGUUUAGUAAGUCUGAAGUUAAAGGCAUUGGCUCAACCAAUGUAUGCUUUGGAAACUGUUAGACUUGAGUGCAGAAGGGGAGAGUGGAAUUCCAUGUGUAGCGGUGAAAUGCGUAGAUAUAUGGAGGAACACCGGUGGCGAGAGCGGCUCUCUGGUCUGUCACUGACGCUGAGGCUCGAAAGCGUGGGUAGCGAACAGGAUUAGAGACCCCUGUAGUCCCUGUCUCUUAUACA
rnacentral:rRNA from 1 species